rnacentral:rRNA from 1 species
UACAGAGGGGGCAAGCGUUAUUCGGAAUUAUUGGGCGUAAAGGGCGCGUAGGCGGCUACACAAGUGGCGGGUGAAAUCCCUCGGCUUAACCGAGGAACUGCCUGCCAGACUGUGUGGCUUGGGACCGGGAGAGGUGAGUGGAAUUCCCAGUGUAGCGGUGAAAUGCGUUGAUAUUGGGAGGAACACCAGUGGCGAAGGCGGCUCACUGGACCGGAACUGACGCUGAGGCGCGAAAGCGUGGGGAGCAAACAGG